GGUCGGGUAGCUCAGUCGGUAGAGCGACAGUCUAAUAAGCUGUCGGUCGCGGGUUCGAGCCCCGCUCUGACCA
rfam:Thecamonas trahens ATCC 50062 unplaced genomic scaffold supercont1.57, whole genome shotgun sequence.